rnacentral:rRNA from 1 species
GACGAACGCUGGCGGCGUGCCUAACACAUGCAAGUCGAACGGGGCGAAGGGAGCUUGCUCCCCGAGCCUAGUGGCGGACGGGUGAGUAACGCGUGAGUAACCUGCCUUUCAGAGGGGGAUAACGUCUUGAAAAGGACGCUAAUACCGCAUAAUAUCUUUUUACCGCAUGGUAGAGAGAUCAAAGGAGCAAUCCGCUGAAAGAUGGACUCGCGUCCGAUUAGCCAGUUGGCGGGGUAACGGCCCACCAAAGCGACGAUCGGUAGCCGGACUGAGAGGUUGAACGGCCACAUUGGGACUGAGACACGGCCCAG